GACGAACGCUGGCGGCGUGCUUAACACAUGCAAGUCGAACGGUAAGGCCCUUCGGGGUACACGAGUGGCGAACGGGUGAGUAACACGUGGGUGAUCUGCCCUGCACUUCGGGAUAAGCCUGGGAAACUGGGUCUAAUACCGGAUAGGACCACUGCCUGCAUGGGUGGUGGUGGAAAGCUUUUGCGGUGUGGGAUGGGCCCGCGGCCUAUCAGCUUGUUGGUGGGGUGAUGGCCUACCAAGGCGACGACGGGUAGCCGGCCUGAGAGGGUGACCGGCCACACUGGGACUGAGAUACGGCCCAGACGCCUACGGGAGGCAGCAGUGGGGAAUAUUGCACAAUGGGCGCAAGCCUGAUGCAGCGACGCCGCGUGAGGGAUGACGGCCUUCGGGUUGUAAGCCUCUUUCAGCACCGACGAAGCGCAAGUGACGGUAGGUGCAGAAGAAGGACCGGCCAACUACGUGCCAGCAGCCGCCGUAA
rnacentral:rRNA from 1 species